rnacentral:rRNA from 1 species
CGUACGAGCGCACCCCUAUCCUUACUUGCUAACGGGUAAUGCUGAGAACUUUAAGGAGACUGCCGGUGAUAAACCGGAGGAAGGUGGGGACGACGUCAAGUCAUCAUGGCCCUUAUGGGUAGGGCUACACACGCUGCUACAAUGGUCGGUACAAAGGGUUGCAAGACGGCGACGUUAAGCUAAUCUCAAAAAGCCGAUCUCAGUCCGGAUUGGAGCCUGCAACUCGACUCCAUGAAGUUGGAAUCGCUAGUAAUCGCGAAUCAGAAUGUCGCGGUGAAUACGUUCUCGGGCCUUGUACACACCGCCCGUCACACCAUGGGAGUGAGUUGUACCAGAAGUGGGUAGACUAACCGCAAGGGGGUCGCUUACCACGGUAUGGUUCAUGACUGGGGUGAAGUCGUAACAAGGUAGCCGUAGGGGAACCUGCGGCUGGAUCA